UCCAACAGUCACUUUCAUGUUCAAUCUAUAAUUGCACCAUCUCAAGGUGUAUCAUUUAAAACUGAAGGUUGUUAAAAAUCUAGGUCAAGAGUAAAUUGUGCAUUCGUUUACAAAUUAUUAACAAACCCAAGAAUUGACAUCCGUUUGGGCUCAUUCACGAGCCAAAGCAAUACAUAUUUUAAAAGAAAAAUGAGAUUUGGACCUAAUGGUAUACUUAGAAGCCCAAGUGAUGUAAAUCAUUGAGUUCCAAUUUACAGCUUACUUACGACCUGGGCCUGUGCAUAGGCCCACGAC
rnacentral:lncRNA from 1 species